rnacentral:rRNA from 1 species
UACGGAGGGUGCAAACGUUGCUCGGAAUCAUUGGGCGUAAAGCGCACGUAGGCGACUCGUUAAGUCGGAUGUGAAAGCCCUGGGCUCAACCCAGGAAGUGCAUACGAAACUGGCGAGCUUGAAUAUGGAAGAGGGUCGCGGAAUUCCCGGUGUAGAGGUGAAAUUCGUAGAUAUCGGGAGGAACACCAGUGGCGAAGGCGGCGACCUGGGCCAAUAUUGACGCUGAGGUGCGAAAGCGUGGGGAGCAAACAGG